GUACCACACCAAGCAAAGCUCUCUGGGUGACACAGUUGCCACCACCAGGGCACUGACCCUUACUCUGUGUUCUCCUAGCUCCUCCUGAGGGUGCUGUAGGAGACAUCUGCAAAAAAGAAGAUGCUGGCAAUAUGCCAUCAACCUCAGAGGGGAGUAUUUACCUUGAAAUGGCUCACUUCCUGAGGAACAAACUUGCUGGAUCUAGUGUACGGAAACCUGAUUCUGGGUUCCUUUGGGAAGGAGCAUUACGGGCCUGCUCCUGGACCACCUCAUAUCACCAGCACCCUCUACCCAAGGUCCUGGAGCCAACACUGGAGUAAAAGAGCACAAGAGAACUCCUUAGAGGUGGAAGGAUACCCUCUGAGGUCAAAUCAUUGGGCUUGUGGCCAUGAGACCACAGACUUUGCCUGGCUUCCAGUGACUGUCCGAGAUGACCUGUGGAGUGCACCGCCUGUACUUGGACAUCACUGUCUUUUCGGAUCCAUACCCGUCAUCCUUGGAAUUUCCCCUGCAUCCAAACCUGUUCCUGAUACAGGUAUAACCCUAAGGAAUAUCUUGGAUGUCUUCACGGGGCUUAUGACUUAUUCUGAGGUUUACAAAAUAGAGGCCCCCAGCUGAGCAAAGAGAGGGCUGCAGCGCCGAGGGAACAGCUGCCGGACUCACCGGAGAGGCCUCCUGGAGCACGCCGGGACCCCCUCCACCCCCUGGCUUUGG
rnacentral:lncRNA from 1 species